GACGAACGCUGGCGGCGUGCUUAACACAUGCAAGUCGAACGGAAAGGCCCUGCUUUUGUGGGGUGCUCGAGUGGCGAACGGGUGAGUAACACGUGAGUAACCUGCCCUUGACUUUGGGAUAACUUCAGGAAACUGGGGCUAAUACCGGAUAGGAGCUCCUGCUGCAUGGUGGGGGUUGGAAAGUUUCGGCGGUUGGGGAUGGACUCGCGGCUUAUCAGCUUGUUGGUGGGGUAGUGGCUUACCAAGGCUUUGACGGGUAGCCGGCCUGAGAGGGUGACCGGCCAAAUUGGGAAUGAGAUACGGCCCAGACUCCUACGGGAGGCAACAGUGGGGAAUAUUGCACAAUGGGCGGAAGCCGGAUGCAGCAACGCCGCGUGCGGGAUGACGGCCUUCGGGUUGUAAACCGCUUUCGCCUGUGACGAAGCGUGAGUGACGGUAAUGGGUAAAGAAGCACCGGCUAACUACGU
rnacentral:rRNA from 1 species